GACACUAUUACUUUGCGCGCUAGGCAGGGACCAGGACUGGGUUUUUACAUAUGUGGCAGUCAGGUACCUGAAGUAGCGCGCGGAGUGCUAGGAA
rnacentral:pre_miRNA from 1 species